UAGAGCUCAGAUUCCAAAUCGUCCAGCUUACUGGAGUAUUCCUGAGGAGAUGAAGAAAUUGCAAAGGCAAGUUAAUGAGUUGUUGGCUGAGGGACAUAUCAGGGGGAGUCUCUGUUAGGGUCCCGAACCUGAGAUCGAGUUAGGGGUCUUUCGUGGAGGAAAGUGGAAGGUGUUCGUGAGGGUGAGGACGUGGUGUUCUUUUUGCGACCUAUCUUGAGAAAUUAGAAGACUCAAUUAGAGGGAAUCUCAAACCUCUGAGUUAAAGUACUCAAAACUGUAAUGAUUUCCAAGUUGAUCUCUUCAUUGAUAAUUAUUGAAUAUUUAUACAGGAUGUAAACCACCCUUUGCUACAUCAAUGGAAUCAUGACUUGAUCAUGGAGUCACAACCUCCUAAGAUAAUGGGAGUAACUACCUCCUAAGAUAAUGGUAAUAACUACCUCCUAAGAUAAUGGAAAUAACUACCUCCUAAGAUAAUGGUAAUAACUACCUCUUAAGAUAAUGGAAAUAACUACCUCCUAAGAUAAUGGAAAUGAUUGAAAGUGGAGAUACCCUCCUUACAUUGUGGAAACACUAACAAAUGCUUAAAGAAAAAUGCAACAACUAAAAAUAGAAACUAAACUGGUCAACCUUCAAUCCUUACUGCUUUCCCAUCUUCAGUAGGCUGUACACGUGGCUGUUUCUUCUGACUGUGAGUGUAACGUGUAUACACUUGUAAUGGCUUUGUAUCAAUACUUCCCGUCCCCUUAGGAAGCUUGUCCUCAAGCUUAAAAUGCGGAUAACGAUCCUGUAUAUCUUGAACAUUUUCCCAAGAGGCAUCAGUUUACUCACCCAGUGUUGUUGAGGGAAGGAAAGUGAGCGUUGCUCUAGUAAAAAUUUCAAGGUGUAGUGGUCAAUUCGCACCAGAAACUUUUUGCCCCAAAGAUAUGAUUGCCAGUGUUUAAUUGCUUUGACCAAGCCAAUCAGCUCCCUUUCAUAUGCCGGAAGACUAACAUGUCGGCCCGCCAUUGCUCGGCUAAAGAAGGCCACUAGUUUAUUUUCUUGUAGUAGCACAGCUCCAAUACCUGUGUCAGCACACUCAAGAACAAACAGUAGCUCGAAAUUCGGAAGAACUAAUAUGGGUGUGGUAGUCAGGGCCGUCUUCAAAGUUUCAAAUGCCUGAAUUGCUUCGUCAGUCCAUUGAAAAGAGUUUUUUCGUAACAAGGCAGUGAGAGGAGCAGCUAUAGUACCAUAGUUGAAUACAAACUUCCGGUAAUAGCCAGUAAGUCCAAGGAAACCCCGCAACCCCCGGAGAGUAACACGUCUAGGCCAUUCUGUGAUAGCUGCGAUUUUGGAAUUAUCCACCUGCACCCCCUUCUGUGAGAUUACAUGAAACAAGUAUGAAACCUGAGUUUGGGCAAAGGUGCACUUGGAGCGUUUCAAGAAUAAUUUAUUUUUUUCCAAGAUGUGGAAUACUUGACGAAGGUGCUGCAUAUGUUCUUCCCAAGAUUUACUGAAAACAAGGAUGUCAUAAAAAAAAACCAAUACGAAUUUACGGAGGUGUUCCUGGAAUACCUCAUUCAUUAAAGCUUGAAAAGUGGAUGGUGCGUUGGACAAUCCAAACGGCAUGACCAGAAAUUCGAAAUGACCGUGGUGAGUUCAAAAGGCUGUUUUUUCAAUGUCUGGUGGAUACAUGCCGAUCUGAAAAUAUCCAGAAAGCAAGUCUAAUUUGGUGAAGAACUUUGCCCCUCCCAAUUCGUCCAGAAGCUCAUCAAUAACAGGAAUUGGGAAUUUGUCUUUGAUGGUUUUGGCAUUGAGUUCCCUGUAAUCCACACACAAGCGCCAUGAUUUAUCAGCUUUGGGAACUAGAAUUACCGGAGAUGAAAAAGGAGAUCUGCUCGGGCGGAUGAUUCCUUGUUUGAGCAUAGCAGUACACUGGCGUUCAAUUUCAUCUUUUUGCCCAUGGGGAUAUCUGUAGGGGUGUACCACCACUGGUUUAGUGUUUGGUUCCAAAGGAAUACGGUGGUCACAGGAACGGGCGGGAGGUAGCCCUGUUGGUGGAUUAAAAAGAGAGGCAUAUUCAAAUAGUAAUUUUUGAAGUUGGGUAUCUGGGUCGGUAGCCGGUAAUAGAGAAUGAAGAUUAGGCUGCGUCCCUGAUCUAGAAUUUAUGCCGUAGAGUUCCACCUGUUUCCCUUGGACGAAGAAAGACAUCCACAUAAUGUUAAAGUCCCAUAGGAUGGGGCCCAGCGUUGUCAACCAAUUAACGCCAAGGACAAUGUCAAAGCCAGUCAAUUGCAAGACAAAUAAUUCCACCAUAAAAGUGGUAAAUCCCAAUUCGAUCGGUGCCCCCUUGCAAAUUCCAGGACUGCGGAGCUGUUUGCCAUUGGCGACAUUAACACGUAACCCAUCUUUCUCAUCCACUUCUGCCUGUAAUUCAUCAACUUUGGAAACAGAGACAAAGUUGUGAGUGCUUCCUGAAUCAACAAGGAUUAAUACCUGGGUUCCUUUCCAACGCCCCAGCAAACGCAUGGACUGUGGAUUGCGUGUUCCAGUAAUUGCGUGGAGAGAAAUUUCAGGUGGUAGAUCUGAGUCGGCGUCUUCCUCUGAAUUUGUUCCGUCUUCUAGAUCAAUCCAAAACAACCGUUUACAGUGAUGGCCACGCACAAACGGUUCAUCACAAUUAAAACACAACCCCUUUUUUCUCCUUUCAUCCAUUUCGUCUCUAGUGAGCCUUUUAAUUGUGCGGUUGUUGCGUGAAUCCGGAAGUGGAGAAUUGCGUUUGAUAUCUCGAGUGGUGGAGCUCCUGGUGUAAAGCUUCCGUUCAUACAAGCGAGACAUGCUCAUUGCUGUGACAAGAUCCUGUGGUUGGUGCAGCUCGACUUCAACAGAUAUGGAUUCCUGCAAGCCACUGAGAUACAAAUACAACUGAACCUUUUGGUUCUGAGUUAAGGUGCUAGCUCUGGAAACCAAAACUUCAAAUUUGUUUUGAUACUCCUCCACUGUGCCCGUUUGUUUUAAUUUGGCAAGUUCUCCCAGUUUGUUGCUUCGGAUAGGGGGUCCAAACCGCAAAUUGCAUUGGUUGACAAAUUCAGACCAUGUAGGAUUGGGAAUAUCUUGAAUCAUCUGUAAGUACCAUAGCUGUGCAAUUCCCUCUAGGUGGUAAGAAGCUAAACUCACCUUUUCCUCUUCAGGAGUGGAUUGGUGCCGGAAAAAGUGUUGACAACGGCUAAUCCAUCCCAAAGGAUCUUCCUGGCCAUUAAAGCGAGGGAAGUCAAGUUUCGUGAAUUUGGGCACAAUGACGUUGCCUCUCGAAGCUUCAGAGACUGUUGCUCCAAUAGGUCCUUUUUCGCGCCGAGUUUGAGCUUGACUUUCUGCACCUGGAGAAGAAGAUAGUCCCUUUCCGGCAGAUUCCAAUUCGAGAGACAUAGCCUCCAUUUUGGCGUGAAGCUGCUCAACCUUUUCAUGGCGGGCCUGAUUAGCUUGCUGUUCAGAAAGGACAAGGUUGAAAAGUUUUGUAAGUUGAUCUUGAACGGAUUCCCCCAUAACUGUUGGCUCUGAUACCAAAAUGUUAGGGUCCCGAACCUGAGAUCGAGUUAAGGGUCUUUCAUGGAGGGAAGUGGAAGGUGUUCGUGAGGGUGAGGACGUGGUGUUCUUUUUGCGACCUAUCUUGAGAAAUUAGAAGACUCAAUUAGAGGGAAUCUCAAACCUCUGAGUUAAAGUACUCAAAACUGUAAUGAUUUCCAAGUUGAUCUCUUCAUUGAUAAUUAUUGAAUAUUUAUACAGGAUGUAAACCACCCUUUGCUACAUCAAUGGAAUCAUGACUUGAUCAUGGAGUCACAACCUCCUAAGAUAAUGGGAGUAACUACCUCCUAAGAUAAUGGUAAUAACUACCUCCUAAGAUAAUGGAAAUAACUACCUCCUAAGAUAAUGGUAAUAACUACCUCCUAAGAUAAUGGAAAUAACUACCUCCUAAGAUAAUGGAAAUGAUUGAAAGUGGAGAUACCCUCCUUACAUUGUGGAAACACUAACAAAUGCUUAAAGAAAAAUGCAACAACUAAAAAUAGAAACUAAACUGGUCAACCUUCAAUCCUUACUGCUUCCCCAUCUUCAGUAGGCUGUACACGAGGCUGUUUCUUCUGACUGUGAGUGUAACGUGUAUACACUUGU
rnacentral:lncRNA from 1 species